UACGGAGGGCGCAAGCGUUGUUCGGAAUUGCUGGGCGUAAAGCGCGGGCAGGCGGUCUGUUAAGUCUUCUGUGAAAAUCCGGGGCUCAACCCCGUGAAAUGCGUACGAUACUGGCAGACUGGAGAUCGGUAGAGGCUAGCGGAAUUCCUGGUGUAGCGGUGGAAUGCGUAGAUAUCAGGAAGAACACCUGUGGCGAAGGCGGCUAGCUGGGCUGAGUCUGACACUCAUCCGCGAAAGCGUGGGGAGCAAACAGG
rnacentral:misc_RNA from 1 species